rnacentral:misc_RNA from 1 species
GAUGAAGGAACGCAGCGAAAUGCGAUACGUAAUGUGAAUUGCAGAAUUCAGUGAAUCAUCGAGUCUUUGAACGCACAUUGCGCCCCCUGGUAUUCCGGGGGGCAUGCCUGUCCGAGCGUCAUUGCUGCCCUCAAGCACGGCUUGUGUGUUGGGCCUCCGUCCUCCUCCCGGGGGACGGGCCCGAAAGGCAGCGGCGGCACCGCGUCCGGUCCUCGAGCGUAUGGGGCUUCGUCACCCGCUCUUGUAGGCCCGGCCGGCGCUUGCCGACACAUCAAUCUUUUUUCCAGGUUGACCUCGGAUCAGGUAGGGAUACCCGCUGAACUUAAGCAUAUCAAUAAGCGGAGGA